GGGGAUUUUGUUCUUCUUCUUGAAUCGGUGGGUUGCCGCGAGCGAUCGGCUCGAUUUCUCGCUCGCUUUCUCCUCUCUGUUAGGUAAGAGCUGCGCCGGAUCGUAAUGGACAUUAAUCGCGCGGGCGCUUGGAAAUUUAUGGCCGCUCAUGAUUCAGGCAACCAUUUCUUUCUGCGAUCAUGAAUCUUUGAUGAGCGGCGUUCCAUCCGGCGGGCCGCAUUCUCUUCUCUGGCUUCACAGGAUUUGAUCGAGUCUUCGUCGAUCGAUCCGGCUGCAAGGCAGAAGAAAUAUUUGUUUGGCCGCUGCGUAUGACAUGGACCGGCGACCCUCUACGCUCUGGAGCUCGCAGAUUUUUCCCUGAGGUGAAGUUAGGCAGCAGGAAAUCCGGGAUCCAUACUGGAGGCUCCUCGGUGAAACUCAGGACUGGAUAGGAGAGAGCUAGGCAUUUGGAUCUAUGUGAGGAUUAUGGGAAAAGACCGGGCUUGGUAGAUGCGGUGUUGGGUGCUCCGUGCAUUGUUGUUCCCUUCGCCAUGGAGGAAGCACUUACGCAGGUGCAGGCAAAAGACACCAAGGAAAGGAUGGCUGGAGUGGAGAUGCUCCAGACUUUACUUGAGCAGCGUAGGAAAGGGCUUUCAGCUAGCGAAGUAGGGAGCAUAGUGGAUGCAACCAGGGGACUGCUCACGGAUAACAACUUCAGGGUUUGCCAAGGGGCUCUCCAGGUUCUUGCAUCGGCGUCAGCACUAGCAGGCGAGCAUCUUAAAGUUCACUUUAACGUUCUUGUCCCGGCCAUCGUGGAGUGCCUCGGGGAUGCCAAACAACCGGUCCGUGAUGCGGCUAAUCGGCUUAUACUGGCACUCAUGGAGAUAUCAUCUCCAACUAUUAUAGUUGAGAGAGCGGGAAGCACGGCUUGGACUCACAGAAACUGGAGAGUUCGAGAAGAGUUUAUGCGAACAAUGGCAUCAGCCGUGAGCCUCUUUUCGGCGAAGGAGAUCACAUUGCAACGCUUCAUUCUUCCUUCCGCCUUGCAAUUGUUGAGCGAUCCCAACAGCGCAGUGAGGGAAGCUUCUAUGUUGUGUUUGGAGGAAAUGCAUCGUCAGGUUGGAUCACAGUUUCGCGACGAGCUCCAGCGUCAGCCUAUACAGCCGGCACAGAUGACAGAAAUUAUCUCGAAGCUUGAAAGGAUGGAUUCAAAGUCUCGUCCCUUCGAAAGCUUAGCCAGGCAAGGUGGCGCAGACAACAACAAACCAAUGACUAGUCCGUCUGGAAGUUUUAAAAGGCAAAGUCCGAGAGGAAAGCCCGCACCUUUAGAUGUUCCGUCAUAUUCAGGCGAGGUGGACUCUCCCGAACAACCCGUGGAUCCUAUUAAAGUGUAUUCAGAAAGGGAGCUAGUGAGGGAGAUGGAAAAGAUCUGUUCCACGUUGACGCAGGACCAGGAUUGGUCCGUAAGAAUGGCUGCACUACAAAGGGUUGAAGGGCUUGUCUACGGAGGGGCUACUGAUUUCCAGUCUUUUCCUUCCUUGCUGAAGCAAUUAACUCCCCCUCUGAAUGUCCAGCUUUCUGAUCGGCGCUCUAGUAUCGUCAAGCAGGCUUGCCAUCUCUUGAAUAUUUUGUCUAGAGAAUUAUUAUCUGAUUUCGAGGCAUGCGCAGAGUCCUUCAUACCUAUGCUAUUUAAGCUCGUUGUUAUUACUGUUCAAGUUAUUGCCGAGUCAGCCGAUAAUUGUAUAAAAACGAUUCUGCGUAAUUGUCGAGUUUCGCGAAUGCUUCCGCGAAUUGUUGAUAUUGCAAAAAAUGACCGCAGUGGUGUCUUGAGAGCAAGGUGUUGUGAAUACGCUCUUUUGAUACUAGAACAGUGGCCGGAUACUCCAGAAAUCCAACGUUCAGCCGAACUUUAUGAAGAUCUUAUCAAAUGCUGUGUUGUAGAUGCUAUGAGCGAGGUACGCUCAACGGCAAGAUCAUGUUAUCGACUUUUUGCUAAGACGUGGCCUGAACGAUCCCAAAAACUUUUCUUCUCUUUUGAUCCGGCUAUUCAGCGUCUUAUAAACGACGAAGAAAGAGGAUUUCAUAAACGAUACUCGUCUCCAGCAUCGCGCACCAGGGGUAACCCGUUGAGGGCUUCAUUGACUGUCGUCUCGAAGUCAACCCCUGUUACUCCCCAGACAGUUCCUAUUAUCGCAAUGGACAGACGUGCGAGUUUCUCGUCGGGUGGAGCUCAUUCGAGAACGAGCGAGCAAGAGAGAAGCUUAGAAAGCAUUUUACAAGCAAGCCAACAGCGGGUAAACGCAAUAGAGACGAUGCUGAGGGGCGUUGAUAUAUCUGACGUGAAAGGUCCUCUAUCUAAGGCUACCGCCAAAGCAAGCCCCAAGGCUGUGGAUUUACCAUCCUCUCGUGAUCCACCUUUUCCGGCUUCAGCGUCGUCCGCCGUGGGAGGCAGUACUACAGUUUCUAGCGCUUACACUGGCGAUCUCUACGGUACUGCACCUGGAGCUUUGUUAUCUCCUCAACGCAUGCUUUCUGACACGAAGAGAGGCAUGGUCUACAACGGUUUGAGUCAAGACAGUGAUCGGGUUAAUGCGAGGGUAUCAGUCAUGGACAGAUUCAACUGGAGCAGCUCUAGCUUGAUGGCUGAAGGCAGGGAAGGUAAGCGGACUCCAAGGGGUGAUAACCAAGGUGGAGUUCCAGGAUUCCAGAGACCACUUCUUAGAAACAGCAGCUCGGGGAGGUCGCCGUCUGCCACUAGAAGCCAUGGUGAUACUAUGCAGGGGUCCUACGAAGCGUUUAGCAGUAACGGGUCCACAAUACAACUCCACGAAGCUCUUGGAGAAGGCCUUAGUCCCAAUGCCGACUGGUCGGCACGGGUUGGCGCUUUUACUUUCAUCAGGGAUCUGCUUCAGAACGGCAUAAAGGGACUACAGGAAAUAACGCAGAGCUUUGAGAAGAUUAUGAAGCUCUUCUUUGCACACUUGGACGAUCCACAUCACAAAGUUGCGCAGGCAGCUCUGUCAACCUUGAAUGAGCUCGUUCCAGUUUGCAGAAAACCGUUUGAGUCGUACUUGGAGCGCAUUUUACCUCACGUCUUCUCCAGAUUGGUCGACCCGAAGGAAAUCAUACGGCAGCUCAGUGCAUCAGUUCUUGAGACGGUUGGCUCGACUUACACCAUUGAGUCGUUGCUCCCUGCUUUGUUGCGAUCCCUCGACGAGCAGCGGUCACUUAAGGCCAAAGUCGCUAUCAUCGAAUUUGCCAACAAUGCACUCAGUAAGCUCACGCUCUCAGGGGAAAUACCAGGUGGUAGUGGACUGAUGAGGUUGUGGCUGGCAAAGAUUGCUCCUCUAGUGAACGAUAAAAACCCGAAGCUUAAGGAUAUUGCUGUCAACAGUCUUAUAGCAGUUUAUACUCACUACGAUUCCGGCGCAGUCCUGAACUUCAUUCUCAACUUAUCCAUCGAAGAGCAAGCCAGCUUACGUCGUGCAUUAAAACAGUACACUCCUCGCAUAGAAGUGGACCUCGUCGCAGUUCUGCAGAGCAAGCAUCAGCGAGGGAAGAAGUCAGGCAAUGAUCAAAAUGACUACUCUACCAUGUCCGUCGAUGGUGGAGGUAGAGCCUACUCGACCUUGAUGAGAAGCCAGCCGCCUGGAAGCUAUUCUUCCGGAUCCAUAAACAGCGACUCUGGUAGAAAGUGGAGCUCCAUGCAGUCCGACUCAGUGCAGUAUAACGCCAGAAUGAACGGUCAGUCCAAAGAAAAUGAUGCGAGCGCCAUCAGCUCAAACAACUUCAGGAGCGUGUCGAGUAUCGAGGACGUUUCUCAGUCUAAGAAGGCCGGAUUGCGAAGUUCUGGAGAUAAGCUCGAUAGAAUGUCCCAAACACGCAGACUGAGCACCGAGGACCUGAGGAAUAUGGUCGACAGUAUUGAACAUAAUAAGGCUGACGAGACUAGUUUGGAAAAGCGUCAACAGAAAAAUGAGGCAGACGAAGCAUACAAACAGCUCUUUUCUCAGGAGUCUAGCAAGGUACCUCUAGCGGAAGAAGUCAAGCCUUCGGAGGCAAACGGAUCAAGUUUCGACGAUCUUCCGAGUAUUCCAUCGCUGCUUAUACAGAUGUCUAAUGUGGAGGAUUCAAGUAAACGAUCAGGUGCUCUCGAAGAUUUUCUCGCGAUAUUUCGUAAAGCCGAUGCUAGCAGCUGGUCACAGUAUUUUAACCAGAUCCUCACGGCCGUUCUCGAAGCAUUUGAUGAUCCGAAUAAUGCCAUUCGCGAGCUUGCUUUAUCCGUUAUCUUCGAAAUGCUAAAUAAUCAGAGAGCGAUGAUGGAAGAACCAACAGAGCUGCUGGUAGAGAAACUUCUGCAUGCAAGCAAAGACCAGACGCCAAAGGUUGCUGCUGGGGCAGACGCGUGCCUGACCGUUGUACUUAAAGAAUUCGAUGCCUAUCGCUGCCUCUCGGUUGUUGUUCCUCUUCUCGUGAACGAAGACGUGAGAACCUUGAUUACUUGUAUAAGCUGCCUAACUAAGCUUGUAUCCCGUCUUCCACAACAAGAGCUCAUGGAGCAGCUACCGUCUUUCCUCCCGGCUCUCUUCGACGCGUUUGGCAACCAAAACGCCGACGUUCGCAAGACUGUUGUCUUUUGCUUGGUGGACAUCUACAUCGCACUCGGAAAAGCAUUCGUCCCGUAUCUGAGCAGCCUCAGCAGCAACCAGUUACGGCUGGUCACGAUUUACGCGAACAGAAUCGCACAGGCUCGUACUGGGACCCCUGUCGAGCAGCAGCAGCAGCAGCAGCAAGCGGCAGCGGCAACACCCACACAGUAACACACACAGGAUUUUCGCGAGAGAAAGUUUACAUAAAUCCAGCAGAGUUUCUAGUAGAGCUAAAGGGAGUGGAAGAAGUGGGCGGGGAAAGAAGAGAUCUUCGAAGCGGCGGAGGUGGAUCAAGAGGUGGAGGAUCCAGAGGAAGCGGUGGAUCGAAAGGAGGAGAAUCAAAAGGAGGAUCGAGAGGAGGAAGGAUUCCAAGGAGCCCAGUAAUCGUAGCUGGUGGAUCUCAUCGCCACAGUGACUCUUCUCGGUGCUCCGCCAGCGCCACUGCCACCGCCGCCACCGCCGCCAUCGCCGCCGCUUUGGCUUUCCUGUAAGGACGUGGAAUAUGCUUCUUGUACAUUUGGCAUCUACUGUUUUGAGUAAAAACCUUUUUUUUUUCGUGUU